UAUUAUUUUUGUUAUUCACAUAUUUUCAAUUAUUAUUAUUGUUUUUUGUCUUUUUUGGUUGUUAGGUUUGGUUUUAACUGUUUGUAACUGUCCUUUAAAUAUUGUCCAGUGAAAUAAUGAAUUGUAAAUUUAACAAAUUAGUUGUCUAUCUUAACAUUUUUUAAUUAGAGAUUGAUUUUAAGACACCUUUGUCAUAUAUAUAGGUAAUAUGUUGUUUUGUAUAUUGGAAAAGUAUAUUAAUCAGUGGAGAAAAAUAAUAGCAGAGGUUAACGAUUUCAUAAGAGAGACAAGCAGUUCUAAUAGUUGUUGUAGUCAGGAAGAUAACUGUUUUUAUCUGAUACUUGUCUUGAAAAAGGGGACAAUGAAGAUUCUGUAUCUAUCACAUCAUCCAGAAGUGAUUCACUCAGAUUGUAUUCUAGUUCUUCAGAAUCAAUUUCUGACAUUGAAGAAGAAAUUAGUAGUCUACCUACUUUGAAUGAACAGCUUUCAUCAUGGGCUACUAGAAACAAAUGUAGGCAAGACUGUGUUAAUGAGAUUUUGAAUAUUUUAAAACAAAAUGGUCACUCUACCCUUCCCAAAGAUUAUCGCACUCUUCUUUAAACUCCAAAAUCUACAUCAUGGGUUGAGAAAUGCGGUGGUACAUAUGCUUACUUUGGGAUUGAAAGUGGAACUAUGAAAACAAUUUUUAACAAUAUUUUAUUUUUAAACCAAAAUAAAGACAUUGAUUUAAUAAUUAAUAUUGAUGAUCUUUCCCUUUUUAAGUCUUCAAAUUUACAGAUGUGGCCUAUUUUAGCUAAAUUUGAUAAGUAUGAUGUAUUUAUUGUGGCACUUUGUUGUGGAAGCUCAAAGCCGACAUCUUUAAAUGACUAUUUGCAUGAUUUUAAAAUGGAAGUUAUUAAUCUUUUACAAAAUGGAUUUAAUUUUAACGAUAAAAAAAUAAAAGCAUUUCUUAAGUCAAUUGUAAAUCAUUCGGCAUACUAUUCAUACGAAAGAUGCGUGAUAAAAGGAUCUUGGAGUGGGAGAACUGUUUUUAAUUCUAAUGCUAUACACAAGAUUCGUGCAAAUCUGAAAUUUUUUGCCAUUGGUUAUCCGGAUCAUCAGAAAGCCUCAACACUUUUGAUAGAUUGUGGCGUAAACUGUGCAACAGAUUUUUUUCUUGACUACAUGCAUUUGAUAUGCUUGGGGGUUGUGAAGCGCGUAAUAAAGUUUUUUAAAAGUGGUCCUUGACAUAGUAAAUUAUAAUUUGGGGAAAUAUCGCAGAUAUCUAAAAAACUGAGCUACGUGGGCAUCUACCAAAAGAGUUUGCUCGCCAACCUAGGAAUUGUUAGAAAUGGAUAGAUGGAAAGCUACAGAAAACAGACAAUUUCUUCUCUAUACUGGUCCUUUAAUUUUAAAAGAUAUUAUAUCACCAUCCAUUUAUAAGCAUUUUCUUUCUCUCAGCAUUGGAAUAAGUAAAAUGUUGGAUUCAAAUAACGAAAGAAGAUCAAAGCAUCUUGAUUACAGUAAGAAGUUGUCAAAUUAUUUUGUUAGUAAUGCUUCUUUAAUAUAUGGAGAUACAUUUGUUGUUUACAAUGUUCAUGGGCGCAUUUAUUUGAAUAAAGAUGUUAGCAACUUCAAUUGUUCUCUCAAUGAUGUGUUAUGUUUUAAAUUUUAAAACUACAUGGAAAAACUCGAAGGUUAUGUUAGAAAAGCUAGCAAUCCUGUUGUGCAAGUGACAAAUAGACUAGCAGAAUUUGAUAAAAUAAAAGAUAAAUGCUAUUUUAAACAGAGGUUCUUCACUACAAUCUCAACUAGAUCAAAGGAUAAUUGUUUUCUGUUGACAAACAAAAACGUUGCUUUUAUUAGAGAAAUAAAAAAUUGUGGAAAAUAUGUAUGUGAUGUGGUAAAAAUUUGUGAUAUAGAUUAUAUAUUUACCUCACCAGCAGAAUAAAAAAUAUUUCAGAUUGGUGUUGCUCAUAGUUUUACUAGAACAAUAAGAAGAAUUGUGGAAAGACAUGAACUUUAAAGAAAAGUUGUGUCACUUCCAUACAAAAGAGGUUAUGGUCUAUUCCCAAUGCUUCAUGAUGCUGAAUAGUAAUAGCGCAAUGGUUUAUCUUUGGUACAUAGCUCAAACUAAUAAAUAAUUUAUCAACAGUUUAUAGUUUAAAAUGUUCAAAUUCUUUUUUCUUUUUUUUUUGAUUCUAUGUAAAAUUUAUAAUUUUUUUCUGGAACUGCAAAAAAUGGAUGCGUGCAGUUUGGUUAGAGGGAAGCACCGAGAAAGAGGGAGUCAUACCGAGCGCUUGGGUAGUUGAAAACCUUUUAUUAGAGAGACCAACCAACAAAUGAUUGGCUAAAAUUUAAGUUGUUGAAAAUCAAAUUUUCAUCAGGUAGACUUGCUUAUUUAUUUAUUUUUUGGGUAAAUAAUUCAUCUUUCCAUUUUAGAGUUAAUUAAUUUAAAUUACUUAAUUUAUAAAGAAAAGACUUAUGAAUAUAAGUAUUUUGUUUGAAAUUGAGAUUCGAAUAGAGUGGAAGAAAAUUGUUGUUGUGUUUAAAAAUCUGUAUAGGUGAUAAAAAUCUUUGUGAAGAAUAUGAGUUUACUACUGAAAUAACUGAUAAUGUUCAAGAAUUUUCCAGACAUCAAAUUAAAUAAUGGAUUCAUAUAUUUCAAAAAGCAUUUUACAUAUCUACUUAUAAAUCAUAUUUUACAUUAUUUUAUUGUAGAAAAAAGAUCUGUUGUAAAAACUCCUUCCCCGCCACCUUUGAAAAAAAAUCGGUCACAUAAAAAAAGGAUAAUUAUACAAAAUAAAAAUAACAAGAGAGACUUAUGUUCACCAACAUCUUCACCUGAUAUGAUUUUGUCCAGUAGAGAUAAUACUCUGUGUCAGAAAAGUUAACUUAAUUCUAAUUAAAUAUUUUAUAUUUGUCAUUUAUCGAUUCUUAUAACUGAUUAUAUAUUAUAUAUUUAUUUUAUCAUUAGGGUUCCAAAAAUCAACACACUCAAAGAAUAUAUCAGGUACUUCUGGUUUGCAAAGUAAAAAGAGGUAUUCUAGGUCACCACCAAAUUGCAGUGAAUCAUUUUCUUCUUCAGCUGAUCUGGCAAUGUCAAGUGUAGGUGGCAGAAAGGAGUAUCCAAUGUCAGAAAAAGGGUUCCAGAAAAAAGUUGUCUUCUUUUUGAAAGAAAUGACCAAAAAUCAGAAGCAAGUGCCAGAUUAGAGUUAGAUGUAGAAUUGAUUCAGCGCCAAAAUAUGGCAGAGUUUCAAGCUUUAGAGGAAGAAUUAUUAGACAUUGAGUUUAAACAAAAAUUUUUUAGUAAUUGUUUUAUUUACAACAAAGUUUUCCAUAUGGUGGAAUCUUCAACACAAAAUUCACCAAGUUUAAUAAUAAGUUAGAAGAAUUGCUAAAGUUGGUGGUGUGAAUGUAAAAGAAAACAUUGCAAACGUUUUAAACAUAUUUUGUCACUGUCAAAUGCUGAUGAAUAAUCAUCUGAUGAGUGAUUUCAAUAUGAAGGGUAAGCAUGGAAAGCAACCCUUUGGUGUUACUUGCCUUUAUAAAAUUAUAAAAACAAAUGCUCUUAAUUUAAACAAUUGCAAUCAGAAGGAUGUCGACGAUGCUAUUUCAAAGUACCUUAAGCAUGCGCCAAAGAGAAAAGAUGGACGUAAAUUCACCGAAAAAAAUGUUUUAUAACGAUAUUUUGAAAUGUUUAUGUAACGUAUUUGUUUAUAAAUGUAUUAAAAUACAGUUAUAUUUUUAAUCAGUAUAUAUUUCUUUAAAUUUAUUUUAUUUUUAGUAUGGUUUGUUGUUAAUAUAACUCCAAAGUAUAGUUUAAAAUAGAGAUAUCAUAACGACUUAUAAGUC